CUAUUUGCCCAGCAUGGGAGAUAACAUGGUCACAAAGCUGUUUGUCUCAGGACUCUGCUUAUCCAUUUCACUUAGUAUGUAGUGAUCCUUGCAAUUUUCUCAAAUGUAGGAUACUCAGCUCCACAGUUUGUUGUAGUUGGGACUACAUUCUCAUUCUCCCUU
rnacentral:snRNA from 1 species